UAAGGAAUCUUCCACAAUGGGGGCAACCCUGAUGGAGCAACGCCGCGUGCAGGACGAAGGCCUUCGGGUCGUAAACUGCUUUUAUGAGUGAAGAAUAUGACGGUAACUCAUGAAUAAGCACCGGCUAACUACGUGCCAGCAGCCGCGGUCAUACGUAGGGUGCAAGCAUUAUCCGGAGUGACUGGGCGUAAAGAGUUGCGUAGGUGGUCCGUAAAGCGAAUAGUGAAACCUAGUGGCUUAACCAUUAGACUAUUAUUCGAACUCACGGACUCGAGAGUGGUAGAGGUAACUGGAAUUUCUAGUGUAGGAGUGAAAUCCGUAGAUAUUAGAAGGAACACCAAUGGCGUAGGCAGGUUACUGGACCAUUUCUGACACUAAGGCACGAAAGCGUGGGGAGCGAACCGG
rnacentral:rRNA from 1 species